GCUCACCGCAAUGUGGACCACUACACACAAUGGAUUAAUGGACUGCAACUAGACUGAUGCUGAACUGGAGUCAGCGCCAACAUGGAAUGGAAACUCUGGAUUCUGACUCUACUUCUCGCUUUACUGAAACCUCAGCUACACUUCUUCUAUGACUGGACGAAGGAAAAUGGGACUUUAGAAAUGGGGAUAUAAUUCCACAGAAAUAAGGCUUUCUACCAUAUCUCAUUCUCAGGUGUGGAUAGUGGGAGCCUUGAACCAAAUCUCUAAAAAACAAGGAGUGAAGUGUUGGUCCUGCAAGUUGCUGCUUGUGUUGGCAGGUGAAUGAAUCCGCGGGCGCUGCUGGAGAGAGAAACUUGCUGCUUUCCACACCCAUUCCUGAAUUGCAAGAAGGAAAACCUACCCAGAAGCUGGAAGGAAUCCAGAAGACAUGGACAAACCCACAGCUUCUCCCCUGAGAGAGAGAUGUCCAUUAGGGUGUUGUAAUGGGGUUUUCUUCCAAGGCCCCCAGCUUGACAAAUCUGGUAACAGAGAGAAAUAUAUUG